UGGGGAAUAUUGCACAAUGGGCGCAAGCCUGAUGCAGCCAUGCCGCGUGUAUGAAGAAGGCCUUCGGGUUGUCAAGUACUUUCAGCGAGGAGGAAGGCGUUGUGGUUAAUAACCGCAACGAUUGACGUUACUCGCAGAAGAAGCACCGGCUAACUCCGUGCCAGCAGCCGCGGUAAUACGGAGGGUGCAAGCGUUAAUCGGAAUUACUGGGCGUAAAGCGCACGCAGGCGGUCUGUCAAGUCGGAUGUGAAAUCCCCGGGCUCAACCUGGGAACUGCAUCCGAAACUGGCAGGCUAGAGUCUUGUAGAGGGGGGUAGAAUUCCAGGUGUAGCGGUGAAAUGCGUAGAGAUCUGGAGGAAUACCGGUGGCGAAGGCGGCCCCCUGGACAAAGACUGACGCUCAGGUGCGAAAGCGUGGGGAGCAAACA
rnacentral:rRNA from 1 species